UACGUAGGCAGCAAGCGUUGUUCGGAGUUACUGGGCGUAAAGAGUGCGUAGGCGGUUUCGUAAGUUUGGUGUGAAAUCUCCCGGCUUAACUGGGAGGGUGCGCUAUAGACUGUGGGACUAGAGUGUGGGAGAGGAAAGUGGAAUUCCUGGUGUAGCGGUGAAAUGCGUAGAUAUCAGGAGGAACACCGGUGGUGUAAACGGCUUUCUGGACCAUAACUGACGCUGAGGCACGAAAGCGUGGGUAGCAAACAGG
rnacentral:rRNA from 1 species